GGUCAAGUGACGAAGCGCAUACGGUGGAUGCCUUGGCGGUAGGAGGCGAUGAAGGACGUGGUAGCCUGCGAAAAGCCUUGGGGAGCUGGCAAACAAGCUUUGAUCCGGGGAUAU
rnacentral:rRNA from 1 species